rnacentral:rRNA from 1 species
GCUUAACACAUGCAAGUCGAGGGGCAGCAUUUCAGUUUGCUUGCAAACUGGAGAUGGCGACCGGCGCACGGGUGAGUAACACGUAUCCAACCUGCCGAUAACUCGGGGAUAGCCUUUCGAAAGAAAGAUUAAUACCCGAUGGUAUAAUCAGACCGCAUGGUUUGAUUAUUAAAGAAUUUCGGUUAUCGAUGGGGAUGCGUUCCAUUAGGCAGUUGGUGAGGUAACGGCUCACCAAACCUUCGAUGGAUAGGGGUUCUGAGAGGAAGGUCCCCCACAUUGGAACUGAGACACGGUCCAAACUCCUACGGGAGGCAGCAGUGAGGAAUAUUGGUCAAUGGGCGCAGGCCUGAACCAGCCAAGUAGCGUGAAGGAUGACUGCCCUAUGGGUUGUAAACUUCUUUUAUAUGGGAAUAAAGUUUUCCACGUGUGGAAUUUUGUAUGUACCAUAUGAAUAAGGAUCGGCUAACUCCGUGCCAGCAGCCGCGGUAAUACGGAGGAUCCGAGCGUUAUCCGGAUUUAUUGGGUUUAAAGGGAGCGUAGGUGGACAGUUAAGUCAGUUGUGAAAGUUUGCGGCUCAACCGUAAAAUUGCAGUUGAUACUGGCUGUCUUGAGUACAGUAGAGGUGGGCGGAAUUCGUGGUGUAGCGGUGAAAUGCUUAGAUAUCACGAAGAACUCCGAUUGCGAAGGCAGCUCACUGGACUGCAACUGACACUGAUGCUCGAAAGUGUGGGUAUCAAACAGGAUUAGAUACCCUGGUAGUCCACACAGUAAACGAUGAAUACUCGCUGUUUGCGAUAUACAGUAAGCGGCCAAGCGAAAGCAUUAAGUAUUCCACCUGGGGAGUACGCCGGCAACGGUGAAACUCAAGGGAAUUGACGGGGGCCCGCACAAGCGGAGGAACAUGUGGUUUAAUUCGAUGAUACGCGAGGAACCUUACCCGGGCUUAAAUUGCAUUUGAAUAAUCUGGAAACAGGUUAGCCGCAAGGCAAAUGUGAAGGUGCUGCAUGGUUGUCGUCAGCUCGUGCCGUGAGGUGUCGGCUUAAGUGCCAUAACGAGCGCAACCCUUAUCUUUAGUUACUAACAGGUCAUGCUGAGGACUCUAGAGAGACUGCCGUCGUAAGAUGUGAGGAAGGUGGGGAUGACGUCAAAUCAGCACGGCCCUUACGUCCGGGGCUACACACGUGUUACAAUGGGGGGUACAGAAGGCAGCUACCUGGUGACAGGAUGCUAAUCCCAAAAGCCUCUCUCAGUUCGGAUCGAAGUCUGCAACCCGACUUCGUGAAGCUGGAUUCGCUAGUAAUCGCGCAUCAGCCAUGGCGCGGUGAAUACGUUCCCGGGCCUUGUACACACCGCCCGUCAAGCCAUGAAAGCCGGGGGUACCUGAAGUACGUAACCGCAAGGAGCGUCCUAGGGUAAAACUGGUAAUUGGGGCUAAGUC